rnacentral:rRNA from 1 species
UACAGAGGUCCCAAGCGUUGUUCGGAUUCAUUGGGCGUAAAGGGUGCGUAGGCGGUGGGGUAAGUUGGAUGGGAAAUCUUGGGGCUUAACCUCAAAAUUGCAUUCAAUACUGCUCCGCUCGAGUUCUGUAGAGGAGAUUGGAAUUUACGGUGUAGCAGUGAAAUGCGUAGAUAUCGUAAGGAACGCCAGUGGCGAAAGCGAAUCUCUGGGCAGCAACUGACGCUGAGGCACGAAGGCCAGGGGAGCAAACGGG